UUUAGGUUAUUCUGUGUAUUUAAAUAUAACAGUAUUAUACUGUGAUGAUAUUAUUCUAAUAUUGGAGAUCUAUAUUAUUAAUAUUAGGUCUUCGGGUAAAGCGUUAUAAAUUGCGUUGCGGUAAUCAACGGUUCAGGCAAGUUUAUUCUUACUUAACUCUAAUAAGAGUGUUUUAUUCAAGCUUAUGGUUAAUCAUUGCUGAUUGUCAUGAAAAUUGUACUCUGUACAUCUUGCAUGUAUAAGUCAGGUAUGAAAGGCUGAUAACCUUCAUUACCAGUUGGUUCAGAAAUGUUUGUUCAUGUUUAAAACUUGUUCAGUCAAAAGUUUGUUCGUGCUAGUUCUCAAUUAUAUUGAUGAAUUAUAGCCAGCUUAUUAUUCAUACUCUUCAAUCAUGAUAUAUCAUUAUACUGUUGUAUUUAAACUUGCUGGGC
rnacentral:lncRNA from 1 species